UUGAGACGUCCUCCUCAGCGCGCAGGCUUCACGGUACCAACCGUGCGGUAUCAUCGCUACAUGAUGAGUGCACUGCCCCAACCAUUGAAGCAUCACAAGGUGCUUGCCUGCCGCCGCCGCCGCUGAUACGUACACGAUUGCUGCCACACAACCAACACAUCACACCCAACAAUCACAACAACAAAACAACUGAGACCCGCCGCCGUGCAACGCACACUGUACACGCCCCAGGGCCGAGAACACAACGCAACACAAGCACCUGACAUGCCUCAUCCAGGCAUGCGUCACUCAAUCGCCCACCGAGCCGACCUCGCACACGCCGUUCGUGAGCCCCUGCGGCUGACAUGCCCGGCCCUGCCCCCUUGGCACCGCAGCCCUGCCGCCUUGGCACCGCCGCCCAUUGCCCCACCCCCAUGCUGCGUGCCAUGUAAGAAUAAAGCCAGGUCCCCAUCAAGCCGCAGCAUAUAUCCCCGCCAAGCCACCAGACUCCUCUUGCCGCACGCUACCAACCACCACCAGCACAGGACCGGCACCUGCCUGUCCCCCUGUUUAGUUUGGGCUGAUAUUUACAACCCCCCACCCUCCCCUCCCCACCUUCCCCAUUGCCAACCUCGCCCACCGCGCCGACAUGCACGCCGGCACCUCGCUCGUGCCUCUCGAGGCCUCCCAUCUUCCGUAGCUAGAGAUCCCUGUCCACGAGUAUCCACUUGGGCUCCAGCCCACUCCUGAUGCACACGCCGGCAUUACCCAGGUCUGCAUGGUUUGCAUGCCUGCCUGUCUACCGUGCACGCACACCUGCCUAGCUACGCAGACCUACUACCGUCCUUUUUGACCCGCCUCCGCCGCCACCGCCGCCGUCUCCUCCCUCUGGCCGCCGUGCCGGCCGCGCCAGCAGCUGCUGUUGUGGGUUGCCGCCAGAGCCGCCGCCGCCCUUGUUGCUGUUGGUGGUGGUGGUUGCGGGCUGGUGUGGCGCGGCCGUAGUGACAGCCGCAGCGCCGCCCACGGCACCCGCUGUCACUGUUUCCACCGCCACCGCCGGCUGCUGCAGCCGGCGCAGCAGGUAGGCCUCCUGCUCGGAAGGAGUCAGGAAGUCCCAUUCCCAGUACGGCACUAGUAGGACGCCGCCCUCCUUAAACGCCCGCCGCAGCUGCCGAAUGCGAAUGGCCGUACCCCCUUCCACAGCAGCGCUGGGGUCUUGCUGCUGCGUUUGUGUCAAGAGGUAACGUUUCGGUCCGAGGAACUCCACCGCCGCCUGCUGCCCGUCACUCAGCCGCACCACCGCAUCCACUGGCGCCAACACUCCUGGCGCGACAACGCCCGUCUGAAGGGACUGAACGGCUAGGCCCCCUGCUGCCUUGAGGCCCUGCUGCUCAAGCCGCCGCAGCGCUGCAACGACCUGCUUUUGAGUAUCUGAUGUGGGCUUGGCGUCUUCCCUCUCAGUAGUCACCGCCGCUGCCAUCGCCGCCUGCAGUCCGCUGCCGCUGCCCAGGGCCGCCGCCACCUCGCCGCCUAGCUCCUGCUGCGCCUGCCACAGCUGUUUGAGAUGCUCAGUUGUAAGACCCUCCCAACGGCUUACUGCUUCACGGGCCAGCUGAAUGGAUAGCUGCUUCAUGUCGGGAGAAUACGUGCCUCCGAACACAGCCAUGGCCCACAGGCUGUUGCAUACGUGCUGGUGCAGGACUGUGUCAGAGUCAUGCUGCAGCAGCUCGCCCAGCCGACCGCACACCGCCGCCUCCAAGCCAGCGUGCCGCAGCUGCAGCACCGCCAGCGCGUACAGCGUAUUGGCACAGUUCUGACCACCGGCACUACUGGCGCGCAUGGCUGCUACUGCUGCGCCCGAGUCAAGCAGCUCCGCCGGCGGCUGGUGGCGCAUCAACGCAAGCGCGUACAGCAGAUUGGACCAGGCCUGAGAUGUUGCGCGGGCCAUGGCGCCCGACUGCGUUGCUGCGUCCACCGCUGCUGAAACCCACUGCCGCUGCUCGGCCGGCGCCUCCGGGCCCGCCCCAAAUCCCAUCUUGGCUAGGGCCCACGCUGAGUUGCUGAGGUCCUGAGCGAUGUACCCGUCAAACCCCCGCCGCACGUCCUCUGCGGCCACUGCCACCACCAGCUCUGCCUGCUCGCUGCAUAGCUGCAGCCCCUCCAGCGCCAGCAGGAUGUUGGAUAGCUGUUGCGGGAUAAAUGCUGCAGCGAGCUCCGGUUUCCGGAGCCGCUGCAGUGCCUCCCCGCACAGCGCCUCAACUGCUGACCGGUACUCUGGUCCUGUGCACCCCAGAGCUUUGAGAGCCCAUAGGCUGUUUGAAACAUCUUGCGGCUUGAAGCCGUGGCCCGCCACCGUUCUCAAGCGAGAAGCCACAGCUGCCGCCAAGGUCUGCAAGUGUGGCGAUGAGGUGGGGUCCCAGCCUGAGCCCCGCUGCUGCUGGUCUUGCUUGAGCUUGCCGAGCGCGUACAUGACAAUUGCGAGGUUCUGAGGUUCCGCCUUCCCAAGAACCUCAGGAUCCACUAGCCGCUCCAGCAGAGCUGCUGCAAGCUGAGCCUCCGUGCCGCCGCCGACCAAUCCAGCUUUGCCCAGCGCCCACAGCGGAAUGCUGCAGUUCUUUGCGUUGCGGAUGCGCGGCACGAGCGGCAGGUAGGCCGGCGCAAGCAUGCCGAUAAUGCUGCUGCGUGCUACAGCCGUUUGGCUUGCUCCAGCGCGCGACUCCAGCUGCGUUCAAAGCAGUUAUGAGGGACAUACAUGGGGUCAAGUGCUAUAUGCAUGUGUUUGUGCGUGUGCGUGAACAGGUGCGCAUGCAAGUCCUGUGUGGCCAUCUGCGUCGUGAGAACCGGAAGUCCGGGCCGAGAACGACAACAAUGGACUCGCCCUCCAUUCUGCACUUCAUUUCUGUGCCCAUUCCCACCUGCACGUAUUAGUCCUCCCUCUCACCUUGCCGCACAGGUUGAACGCCGCACACAUGGUAAUGAAGUCUUUUCGGCCCUCCCACACUGAUAGCCGCUGGCUGAUGAUUGCUUGCAGCUCCUCCAGAGUCCGACACACGGUCAUGUCAUCCGCGGGGUCACGCCCGCUGCCCCUGCUUCUGCCGCUGGCGCGGCUGCCAUCGCCUGCCCUGCCUCCGCCGCUUCCCCUACCCNNNNNNNNNNNNNNNNNNNNNNNNNNNNNNNNNNNNNNNNNNNNNNNNNNNNNNNNNNNNNNNNNNNNNNNNNNNNNNNNNNNNNNNNNNNNNNNNNNNNGAGAAUAACGCAAGGAACGAAAGGUCAGGUGCGUGUAGGUCGCUGGGCCAAAGCCGCCUGAGUAGCUGUGGCUUGGUAUGGAUGAUAAAGCAACUGAAUCAAUUUGCCACCGGUGUUGAGGCGAGGGCGACCUGACCGCGAAAUACACGGCCCGAGGGCACGCCCCGUAUCAACACCCCUCGCGACCUCCAAACACGUGCACUGAACCGCGAAGCCCUCCCCCAAGCCUAUCGCGGCUGCUAUUCCCAUGUCCUCCUCCCCAACCAUUCUGCAUACAGGCUCUGGCGUGAGUCCCUGCCCGCGUCAUUUGACACCCGUCGACCACGACUGAGGUGCAACGCAUGUCGCUUACAAAUCCAACAUCCCGCCCGACACGAGAGGGGCAGAAACGGCGGGGCAGACGGCCAGCCUCUUGAACAUGAGCAUAGCAGUGCAAUAUCGCACAUUGGGUCCCCGCCUGCUUCACCUGGCCACCUUUGCUGAUUUGUCUGACAUCCCUGUCUACACACUUUUAUCCGCCCACGCUUGAGACGUCCUCCUCAGCGCGCAGGCUUCACGGUACCAACCGUGCGGUAUCAUCGCUACAUGAUGAGUGCACUGCCCCAACCAUUGAAGCAUCACAAGGUGCUUGCCUGCCGCCGCCGCCGCUGAUACGUACACGAUUGCUGCCACACAACCAACACAUCACACCCAACAAUCACAACAACAAAACAACUGAGACCCGCCGCCGUGCAACGCACACUGUACACGCCCCAGGGCCGAGAACACAACGCAACACAAGCACCUGACAUGCCUCAUCCAGGCAUGCGUCACUCAAUCGCCCACCGAGCCGACCUCGCACACGCCGUUCGUGAGCCCCUGCGGCUGACAUGCCCGGCCCUGCCCCCUUGGCACCGCAGCCCUGCCGCCUUGGCACCGCCGCCCAUUGCCCCACCCCCAUGCUGCGUGCCAUGUAAGAAUAAAGCCAGGUCCCCAUCAAGCCGCAGCAUAUAUCCCCGCCAAGCCACCAGACUCCUCUUGCCGCACGCUACCAACCACCACCAGCACAGGACCGGCACCUGCCUGUCCCCCUGUUUAGUUUGGGCUGAUAUUUACAACCCCCCACCCUCCCCUCCCCACCUUCCCCAUUGCCAACCUCGCCCACCGCGCCGACAUGCACGCCGGCACCUCGCUCGUGCCUCUCGAGGCCUCCCAUCUUCCGUAGCUAGAGAUCCCUGUCCACGAGUAUCCACUUGGGCUCCAGCCCACUCCUGAUGCACACGCCGGCAUUACCCAGGUCUGCAUGGUUUGCAUGCCUGCCUGUCUACCGUGCACGCACACCUGCCUAGCUACGCAGACCUACUACCGUCCUUUUUGACCCGCCUCCGCCGCCACCGCCGCCGUCUCCUCCCUCUGGCCGCCGUGCCGGCCGCGCCAGCAGCUGCUGUUGUGGGUUGCCGCCAGAGCCGCCGCCGCCCUUGUUGCUGUUGGUGGUGGUGGUUGCGGGCUGGUGUGGCGCGGCCGUAGUGACAGCCGCAGCGCCGCCCACGGCACCCGCUGUCACUGUUUCCACCGCCACCGCCGGCUGCUGCAGCCGGCGCAGCAGGUAGGCCUCCUGCUCGGAAGGAGUCAGGAAGUCCCAUUCCCAGUACGGCACUAGUAGGACGCCGCCCUCCUUAAACGCCCGCCGCAGCUGCCGAAUGCGAAUGGCCGUACCCCCUUCCACAGCAGCGCUGGGGUCUUGCUGCUGCGUUUGUGUCAAGAGGUAACGUUUCGGUCCGAGGAACUCCACCGCCGCCUGCUGCCCGUCACUCAGCCGCACCACCGCAUCCACUGGCGCCAACACUCCUGGCGCGACAACGCCCGUCUGAAGGGACUGAACGGCUAGGCCCCCUGCUGCCUUGAGGCCCUGCUGCUCAAGCCGCCGCAGCGCUGCAACGACCUGCUUUUGAGUAUCUGAUGUGGGCUUGGCGUCUUCCCUCUCAGUAGUCACCGCCGCUGCCAUCGCCGCCUGCAGUCCGCUGCCGCUGCCCAGGGCCGCCGCCACCUCGCCGCCUAGCUCCUGCUGCGCCUGCCACAGCUGUUUGAGAUGCUCAGUUGUAAGACCCUCCCAACGGCUUACUGCUUCACGGGCCAGCUGAAUGGAUAGCUGCUUCAUGUCGGGAGAAUACGUGCCUCCGAACACAGCCAUGGCCCACAGGCUGUUGCAUACGUGCUGGUGCAGGACUGUGUCAGAGUCAUGCUGCAGCAGCUCGCCCAGCCGACCGCACACCGCCGCCUCCAAGCCAGCGUGCCGCAGCUGCAGCACCGCCAGCGCGUACAGCGUAUUGGCACAGUUCUGACCACCGGCACUACUGGCGCGCAUGGCUGCUACUGCUGCGCCCGAGUCAAGCAGCUCCGCCGGCGGCUGGUGGCGCAUCAACGCAAGCGCGUACAGCAGAUUGGACCAGGCCUGAGAUGUUGCGCGGGCCAUGGCGCCCGACUGCGUUGCUGCGUCCACCGCUGCUGAAACCCACUGCCGCUGCUCUGCCGGCGCCUCCGGGCCCGCCCCAAAUCCCAUCUUGGCUAGGGCCCACGCUGAGUUGCUGAGGUCCUGAGCGAUGUACCCGUCAAACCCCCGCCGCAUGUCCUCUUCGGCCACUGCCACCACCAGCUCUGCCUGCUCGCUGCAUAGCUGCAGCCCCUCCAGCGCCAGCAGGAUGUUGGAUAGCUGUUGCGGGAUAAAUGCUGCAGCGAGCUCCGGUUUCCGGAGCUGCUGCAGUGCCUCCCCGCACAGCGCCUCAACUGCUGACCGGUACUCUGGUCCUGUGCACCCCAGAGCUUUGAGAGCCCAUAGGCUGUUUGAAACAUCUUGCGGCUUGAAGCCGUGGCCCGCCACCGUUCUCAAGCGAGAAGCCACAGCUGCCGCCAAGGUCUGCAAGUGCGGAGAUGAGGUGGGGUCCCAGCCUGAGCCCCGCUGCUGCUGGUCUUGCUUGAGCUUGCCGAGCGCGUACAUGACAAUUGCGAGGUUCUGAGGUUCCGCCUUCCCAAGAACCUCAGGAUCCACUAGCCGCUCCAGCAGAGCUGCUGCAAGCUGAGCCUCCGUGCCGCCGCCGACCAAUCCAGCUUUGCCCAGCGCCCACAGCGGAAUGCUGCAGUUCUUUGCGUUGCGGAUGCGCGGCACGAGCGGCAGGUAGGCCGGCGCAAGCAUGCCGAUAAUGCUGCUGCGUGCUACAGCCGUUUGGCUUGCUCCAGCGCGCGACUCCAGCUGCGUUCAAAGCAGUUAUGAGGGACAUACAUGGGGUCAAGUGCUAUAUGCAUGUGUUUGUGCGUGUGCGUGAACAGGUGCGCAUGCAAGUCCUGUGUGGCCAUCUGCGUCGUGAGAACCGGAAGUCCGGGCCGAGAACGACAACAAUGGACUCGCCCUCCAUUCUGCACUUCAUUUCUGUGCCCAUUCCCACCUGCACGUAUUAGUCCUCCCUCUCACCUUGCCGCACAGGUUGAACGCCGCACACAUGGUAAUGAAGUCUUUUCGGCCCUCCCACACUGAUAGCCGCUGGCUGAUGAUUGCUUGCAGCUCCUCCAGAGUCCGACACACGGUCAUGUCAUCCGCGGGGUCACGCCCGCUGCCCCUGCUUCUGCCGCUGGCGCGGCUGCCAUCGCCUGCCCUGCCUCCGCCGCUUCCCCUACCCGCCGCCGCCUGCACUAUUGGCCGCCCGAGGCGGGAGCUACUGCUGCCGCAGAGCACUACCGCCGUCGAGACGCGCAGUGGGGAUGAGCUGCUACUGUUGAGUGCUGGGACAGAAGUAGCGGCGGCAGCGCGCGGUGAGCUGGGGCCGGUGUCGGCAGCGGUCCGAUGCAUGCCAUAAACGAACAGUCUUCUAAACGCGCACGCCGGUGGCGGUGCCUGGAGACGGGCUGAUAACGAUUGGCUACAGCCAUGUACGCUGUGCCUGUGCGCACCAGCGGGAGAGCCCGCGACGACGCGCAGGGCGAGCAUCUCGGGCCUCCUCACGGCGGCGACCUGAGCUAUAGCGACUCUAUCCGUCUACGUGUCUGAGCACUGCAAAUGCAUUAGGCUUGCAUUUGUGGGAGAAUAACGCAAGGAACGAAAGGUCAGGUGCGUGUAGGUCGCUGGGCCAAAGCCGCCUGAGUAGCUGUGGCUUGGUAUGGAUGAUAAAGCAACUGAAUCAAUUUGCCACCGGUGUUGAGGCGAGGGCGACCUGACCGCGAAAUACACGGCCCGAGGGCACGCCCCGUAUCAACACCCCUCGCGACCUCCAAACACGUGCACUGAACCGCGAAGCCCUCCCCCAAGCCUAUCGCGGCUGCUAUUCCCAUGUCCUCCUCCCCAACCAUUCUGCAUACAGGCUCUGGCGUGAGUCCCUGCCCGCGUCAUUUGACACCCGUCGACCACGACUGAGGUGCAACGCAUGUCGCUUACAAAUCCAACAUCCCGCCCGACACGAGAGGGGCAGAAACGGCGGGGCAGACGGCCAGCCUCUUGAACAUGAGCAUAGCAGUGCAAUAUCGCACAUUGGGUCCCCGCCUGCUUCACCUGGCCACCUUUGCUGAUUUGUCUGACAUCCCUGUCUACACACUUUUAUCCGCCCACGCUUGAGACGUCCUCCUCAGCGCGCAGGCUUCACGGUACCAACCGUGCGGUAUCAUCGCUACAUGAUGAGUGCACUGCCCCAACCAUUGAAGCAUCACAAGGUGCUUGCCUGCCGCCGCCGCCGCUGAUACGUACACGAUUGCUGCCACACAACCAACACAUCACACCCAACAAUCACAACAACAAAACAACUGAGACCCG
rnacentral:lncRNA from 1 species